UCAAUCAUGAAUCUCAAGAAAAUGCUCCAUAGACAUGCCCACAGGUCGAUCUGAUGAAGGCAAUUCCACAAUAGAGGUUUCUCUUUCCAGAUGCAUAUAAACUUAGGUGUUCUCUGACUUUGCAGUCUGGAAACCCCAUUGCAGCACCUCCUGAUUCCUGCACAGGUGAAGCAGCACUGGCCAGCGUCUUAGGAGACUCCACACACAGCGUCUCCCCUCUGCGGAAAUGUGCCCUUUCUCUUUAGACGCUCAUCUCAUGCAUUUUAGAAUGGAAAACUGUUCUCAUACUGUCUGUAAAGGUGUGGUCCUUCUUUCAGUCAAGAGCACAAAUCAGUAAACCCUUUCAAGUCACACACUGAUUCUUACAGUUCUCAGAGCUGAGUAUUUUAGUACUUUAGUAUUUAACUACACACAUCUGCUCUAAUUCUUCCCUUUGUAAUUCUCGGCACUCACAAGUUGGAUUUCAAUAGCCUCCAAAUUCGACCAUCUUUAUUCAACAUUUUCAUGUUUUAUCUUUGUUCUCUAAGAGCUUUGAUG
rnacentral:lncRNA from 1 species